GUGGUAUAUCAUUUUUUUCCGAUAGAAUAAAUAGAAAAAUACUCAAACUGUGGGUAAUAUUUUGCAGAAAAUGAAUUAGUUACACUUAUUCAAGUUGAAUUAUUCUAGUUCCUCAAUUUUAUAUUCCAGAAAAAUAUAUGCUGACUAUAUUUUUAAUGCUUUUUUUUAUUAGAGAAGUUUGUUUAUUGAUAUGUGCAUCGCUUUUACUAAUUCAGUUUUGAGCAAGGUGUGACUCUUUAUUCAAUUUUCCAAAGAGUUCCAAACCAAAACUUGUGGAUUUCCAGUUGAUCUGUAUAUCACCUUGCCACCUCUGGCUUUUUUCUCUCUAAUACAGGUAUAAGAAUAACAUUUAACAAUAAAUGAUUUGUGAAGCCAGUUCAAAAAUGUUCAUGCUAUAUUAAUCAACUUGAUAAAAUGCAUUAAAUUUAUGAAUUUCUACAGGUUUGUUAGUGCCUGGAAUCUGUAGGUAGAGACACCCAUAAAAAAGUCUUAUAAUAUAAGCUAUAUAACUUAGUGAAAAAUCAAUAAGGCAUACUAAUGUUUGCAUAGGAUGAAAACCUGGUCAUAUUAAUUUUUCUGAGAAAAUAAUCUCAAAUGAAAAAUCACUUCCCUAAAGCAUUAUUUGUUUUUAUAUCAGAUUUAUUUCAGUUCAACCAACAUUGCACGCUCUAAGUAUUAGAUAUUGUGAUUGGUCCUGGGAAUGCUAAGAUAAAAAUUUCUCCUUUUCUAACCUUGAAUUCACAGAGAGGUAGAAGCAAGAGAAGCAUAAACAUAUAAUUUCAAUGCAAUAUGGGAAUUUUGUACAGAGUUCCUAAAAAAAGGGAUCAUGAUGCCAGUGUAUUGCCUCACUGAUUGCUAAAUGAAGAGGACUAUACUGAAGCAUUCAAAGAACGUGAUGUGCCUCUGGGGCAACUGAAGGAUUGCUAUCUGACUUAUGCAUUUAAAACCUUCAAAGUGGAAGUUUGUCUGGAAUGGCUUAGGCAAACAGACUGGGUUGGAUUGAGAAUUGAAUGUAUACAUAAAAUUUGGUUUGGUCAGAUGAGUACACCAAAUGUGGUAGCUAGCUCACCUUUAUUUAUGAGAUUUUUAUUGGGUUGAUUUGUCUUGAAAGAAUCAAAUCUAAGAGAAAUGUUUGGAAUGGCUAGAUGAUCCUAACAGAAGAAAUCUUACAGGUCUUUACUGCUAAACCUAAGGAGAUGAGAGUAAACAGUAAGUGGCCAACUCAAAGAAGCAUGGACUAUGUUGAAACAUGGACUAUAGCUGCAAUUUCCCAGUGGUGCAGUUUUCAAGCGUUUUACCCCAGGAGAGAAAAAAAUAAAUAAAUGAAAAGUAGCCAUUUCACCAUUCAGAGGAUACUGUUGCCCAGUGAAAACUGCAUGAAUUAUGUAAUAGUUUUAUGCUUGUUUCCCCCACUCACCAUUCCAAAACUGUAAGACUUCAAGAUAGAACAGGAGGUAUGAAAUUUUAACAGCACAUAAAAAAAUAGUGAACAUUCUAUCCCCGCACUUCAUUGCCAUUACUAAGGCUAAGGCAGGACUGAGUUUAGAAUGCAGCAAAGCUUUGAAAUGUAUAAGAGAUAAUAUCUCUAAUAUUCAAAUACACCAUAAACUCAAAACUUAGAAUCAAUCCUAUUUUUAAAAUACUGAAUGUGACAAGAAACGUUAUAAAAGUUUUCAAGAUAUCAGUAUAUGAUAGAAAGAGAUGUAUUGCUUUAGCACAAAUCAUUCUACAAAAAAAAAAUUCUUCUAAAAUAAAUUACUUAUCCAUAUCCUAC
rnacentral:lncRNA from 10 species